CAGAAUCAAUUAAAUGAAUCUGACUAGAUCGUUGACCUAGAUUGGUCAAUGGGUUAUUAGAAUUAAUUAGUUUUUUGAAGUUCUCAAAAAAAAAUGGGACUUGUGCAUAGAAUUGAACAUUUCUGACCUAUAUUAGAUGUGAUGUCAUAAUUGUUUUCUUUCUUGGACAUGUUAAGGGAUUGGCUUAUGUGGAUUUCUCGGAUGACAAACACCUGGCUGCAGCUGUGGCAAAAAACAAGCAGACCUUGCUUGGGAAGAGAUUGAGCAUUGCUAAGUCAGAUCCCAAAGGUAGAAAAAAAGGAAGCGUGGCAAAAAACAAGCAGACCUUACUUGGGAAGAGAUUGAGCAUUGCUAAGUCAGAUCCCAAAGGCAGAAAAAAAGGAAGCGAUUCUCACAGUGCUUCUUCAAGACAAGGUAUCGCACUAUGUCUUGCUUCAGUUGUUUUCACUGGUUUUGCACAUUCUUGUUAGUUCCGUUCUCCUUAAGGUCAUUGCUUCAUAGAUACUUCUUCAUUUCGUGCCAACGCUUGGAUAAGACAACUGAUGUGUAACACAGUGAAAUGCUUAUUGAUGCAAAGAUUAUUCCUUGUUGGCGCAUACUUGCCAGUGUAAUUUCAAUUUUCAGAC
rnacentral:lncRNA from 1 species